rnacentral:rRNA from 1 species
GACAGAGGGUGCAAACGUUGUUCGGAAUUACUGGGCGUAAAGCGUGUGUAGGCGGCUAGGUAAGUCGGAUGUGAAAGCCCCGGGCUCAACUCGGGAAGUGCACUCGAUACUGCUUAGCUCGAGUACCGGAGAGGUUGGUGGAAUUCUCGGUGUAGAGGUGAAAUUCGUAGAUAUCGGGAGGAACACCGGUGGCGAAGGCGGCGAUCUGGGUAGAUACUGACGCUGAGGUGCGAAAGCGUGGGGAGCAAACAGG